GACGAACGCUGGCGGCGUGCUUAACACAUGCAAGUCGAACGGAAAGGCCUCUUUCGGGGGGUGCUCUAUUGGCGAACGGGUGAGUAACACGUGAGUAACCUGCCCUUGACUUUGGGAUAACUUCUGGAAACUGGGGCUAAUACCGGAUAGGAGCUCCUGCUGCAUGGUGGGGGUUGGAAAGUUUCGGCGGUUGGGGAUGGACUCGCGGCUUAUCAGCUUGUUGGUGGGGGAGUGGCUUACCAAGGCAUUGACGGGUAGCCGGCCUGAGAGGGUGACCGGCCACAGUGGGACUGAGAUACGGCCCAGACUCCUACGGGGGGCAGCAGGGGGGAAUAGUGCACAAGGGGUGGAGGCCUGAUGCAGCAACGCCGUGUGCGGGAGGACGGCCUUCGGGUUGUAAACCGCUUUCGCUCAUGACGAAGCUUUGUGUGACGGUAGUGGGUAAAGAAGCACCGGCUAACUACGUG
rnacentral:rRNA from 1 species